rnacentral:rRNA from 1 species
UACGAAGGUGGCAAGCGUUGUCCGGAUUUACUGGGCGUAAAGAGCGCGCAGGCGGUCGAAUAAGUCGAAUGUGAAAGCCCCCGGCUUAACUGGGGAGGGUCAUUCGAUACUGCUCGACUUGAAGGCAGGAGAGGGUAGUGGAAUUCCCGGUGUAGUGGUGAAAUGCGUAGAUAUCUGGAGGAAUACCGGUGGCGAAGGCGGCAUCCUGGACCGGCAUUGACGCUGAGGAGCGAAAGCCAGGGGAGCAAACGGG